rnacentral:rRNA from 1 species
AUUGAACGCUGGCGGCAUGCCUUACACAUGCAAGUCGAACGGUAACAGGUCUUCGGAUGCUGACGAGUGGCGAACGGGUGAGUAAUACAUCGGAACGUGCCUAGUAGUGGGGGAUAACUACUCGAAAGAGUGGCUAAUACCGCAUGAGAUCUACGGAUGAAAGCAGGGGAUCGCAAGACCUUGUGCUACUAGAGCGGCCGAUGGCAGAUUAGGUAGUUGGUGGGAUAAAAGCUUACCAAGCCGACGAUCUGUAGCUGGUCUGAGAGGACGAUCGGCCACACAGGGACUGAGACACGGCCCAGACUCCUACGGGAGGCAGCAGUGGGGAAUUUUGGACAGUGAGCGCAAGCCUGAUCCAGCAAUGCCGGGUGCAGGAUGAAGGCCUUCGGGUUGUAAACUGCUUUUGUACGGAACGAAAAGCCCUGGGUUAAUACCCUGGGGUCAUGGCGGUACCGUAAGAAUAAGCACCGGCUAACUACGUGCCAGCCGCCGCAGUAA